AGAUUCAUUCUCUCCAUGGACAGAAGGAGCAGUACUGCAAGCCCAGCUCCCAGCAACUUCAGAAGCUAAAAGGUCUGCUGUCCUGAUUGUGUCCUCCAUGGUUUUUUGACUCAGAGGAUUAUUCAAUUGUGAGUGAUUAACAGUUUCCUGACAAGUUGGGGGAAUCUGCUCAUCAAUUUCAUGCCCAUGGGCUUCAUCCUCAAGCUGCAUAGUCUCACCAGCUAAAGUUUCAGGUUUGUUCAAAUCAAUAUUCUGCUCACCAUCAAUCCCAGGGCUUUCAGUUUCAUGAACU
rnacentral:lncRNA from 1 species